ensembl:lncRNA
GACAUUCUGGAGCACUUAGAAGGCUUACUCCUUUUUACCACGACCUGAGCCAUGGAUCAAGAAGUGCCUUGCCCCUAAGGGGAUAUUAAGAUGCUGCUACCCUGAAAGUUAGUGCUCACAUCCUGAGCCUCGGAGUUAAACGGAAGAAGUAUUUCCUGCUCUAAUGAGCAUGAGGGGUCCACCUUAUAAAACUUUACUUUGCCUAUUCUUAGGCUUACUUCUCAACAUGCCUGUGAACACAGAAAUCAGUUCAGCAACCGAAUGUACAUAUGGAUUCUGUCAUUCUCUUCCACAGCAUAUGAUGGAAUUGAGCUGGUCUUUGAGGGAUGUUUUUGAUAAUAUUUUCAUCUCAACAGCUUAGCUCAAACUUUCCUUAACAAAGCAUUUUGUCAUCCACAUAGGAAUGUUGCUAGCCCAAGCUCUGAUUUGUUCCAUUUUGAAAUAGCUGUCAUAGGCAUCAGCAUUAAUAAUAAUAGAGAAUAAACAGAAUUUGCAUCAUCUGACA